rnacentral:tRNA from 1 species
UGCGACUUAAUUCACCGGUAGAAGACUAUCGUUACAAGGUAGGAGUAGUUGGUUCGAUUCCAACAGUCGCGA